GUAGCUAGAAUUACAAGUAGUAGUAAUUAUGCCCAUCAGUAUUGAAUUUUGUACUCAAGACCUUUCUCUUCAUUAGGCAGAUGCCCUAUUAGUUCAGCAUAUCCCAAGCCCUACAACUUUCUGUCAACUGUACCUUAAUAAGGCUGAAGGGAAAAAAAAAAAAUCGAAACAAUGUUUUAAAUGUAGUUAAGAAUAAUUUUGGCCUGAUAUAGGUAAACAUGUGCAAGCCCAAGUUAAGCUAGUUAAGCAUAUUUAAGCCCCUGAAUAAAAUCUUCAGCACCACAAAAAUAAAUAGGGGGAAAAAAACUCUUGAG